rnacentral:misc_RNA from 1 species
CUCGCUGCCGCGAAACCCUAGAACCCGAACGAGAAGAAAAGAAACCCAAAUAUGGCAAUCGCCCGAACUGGAGUCUACGUCGACGAUUACCUAGAGUAUGCAAGCACAUUACCGGCUGAGCUUCAAAGACUUCUCAAUACUAUCAGGGAACUCGACGAACGAUCCCAUUCAAUGAUAAACCAAACCAGGCAGCAAACAAAUUACUGUUUGGGAUUGGCAUUACAAGGCUCAAAGAGAGGGAAUGGUACUUAUAAUAACGGCAGUAAUGAAGAGGAUGAUGCUGUUGAGAGAAUGAGAAAGGAUAUGGAGGCAAAUCAGGAUAAUGCAUUGAGUUUAUGCACUGAGAAGGUUUUAUUGGCACGGCAAGCUUAUGACCUUAUAGACAGCCAUAUAAAACGACUGGAUGAAGAUCUGAACAACUUUGCUGAAGAUUUGAAGCACGGUACAACAAAUGCGAUUUAUUUUCAUGCCAUCUGAACACUCAACCCAGAAGGCCAGAACAGCCCCUAUCUAGUGAAGUUAAAUUAAUGCUUGGCCUUUUACCUCAAUGCAAAUCCUGCAAACACCCCAUCCCCAACUACACCCCCCCCCCCCCCCCCCCCCAAAAAAAAAAAAAAAAAAAACAACCAAAAACAAAAUUUUUACUGGAAAGAUGCUUCAAUCCCGAUGCUUUCAACUUCUAAAUCCAGUAACCUCAUUUAUAUCCUAUUCACGAAGCCAUUGGUGCUCCACUUGAAGUCUGCUUAGCCACAUAAAUCUGCUUCAUCUUAGAAGAAGGAAAGCCCUUUUCUGCACCCAAAGAUUGAUUCCUUCCUUGGAAUCCCAUCCUACGAUGAGACCACUCAGCCCCAGAACUAUUCUUCUGAGAGAUUCCACCACCUCUUUGAUAAUUAUAGCCAGAAGAAUUACCAUAAUGCUGGGCGGAAGUACUCCUCUGAUGGGAAGGCUGCCUUUUGAAAACAGAACCUGUAUUCUGGUUGCUGCUGCUCCCACUGCCAUUCUGCACAGCAUGUGUCUUGCCAGCAUCUGGAAUGUUGCUAGCAGAUGAGCUCUUAGCAACAGUGCUCUGUGUUGAAGUACCAGCACCAGUGGAGCUUGAUGAGUCUACCAAGCCAAGUUCGUCCGGUAACUGGGUAACAGAGGCAUCAGUAGCAGUGGGGAAGUUCUGGUUGUCAUCAGAGGGUGCGGUCGUUUGAGACUCUGGGAACCUGUUAACUAAUGGUUGGUCAACAGUUGGCCCAUGGUUAAACUGAGAAGAAAGUGCAGCUUCUGCCUGUUGCUGCAAUGGCACUGAUACAGAAACAGAUUGAAGAGGGGAUGCCGGAACAUGUGACCAUCGAGCUUGGACAGACAUGUCAGGAGAGGACUGGACACAACAAUUUUAAUCAAACAUCUAAAGUCAGCAUAAACUAUUCCAUCAUAUUUGAUGAAAAAGGAAACAUUGUCAGCCUUUGUAGAUUUAUAAUCAAUAAACCCUCAAUUCAAAAACCUCUAAAAUUUUCAAUGACCUGUGGAUGCCUUGUACACACCCCAACAACAAAUAACAAUUUUCUCUUUAGGAAAAAGAAGAAACAGUGGAAUUAGAAAGUCUACUGAAUGUCUUUUACAUUAGAUUGCUAUUUGAAGGGAAUUGACUCAGUGCAUAAGUGCUUACAUAGGGUUAGCAUCUUUUACAUAUCCAAUGGUUGUCAUUUGUAUGCACAUCUCUUGAAUGCAUGUAAUUAUUUCCUUUUUUUAAAAAAAAAAUGUAACUAUCCUUUUGGCCACCACCAUAAUUUUGCAAAUCACAAAUCAAUACUUUUACCUGGAAAGGAGAAACAUCAAACAUGGCCAAAGGAGAUGCCAUAGGCAAGAGAGGUGAUCCAGGAGCAAGAUGUUGUAUAGGAGUAGGCAUGUUGGUGAGAUUGCGCUGUGCUGAAACCAUAUUCAAACUAUUCAUGUCCCCUUCACCAACACCCAUCGGAGAAGAAGCUGGGUUAUGCUUCCAGUCAGGUUGCUUCCCAGACGGAAUGUAGGUGGUACCCAUGAAACUCAAGCCAACCUGUCCAAACUGUCCAACUGGUGCAAAAUGGUUGUACACAACCAUGUGUGGAGGACCUUGAACACCUGGAAUGCUUCCAGGAGGGCUGAUGAAAGGACCAGUAAAACCUGUCGGAGGGCCAUAGAAUGAAUCUACACCAGAAUGGUGUUGCCAGGUCCCAACUGGACCAGAAACUGAUGCAUUACUCUUCUGGGACUGUGAUUGGGUAGAUGCAGAAUCGUCAUGCGGCCCAAAUGUAAAUAUAGGUCCCCCCAACAUUGGAUUCAUCUCAUAGAAGGGAAAAUGGGAAGCUGGACCUCCAGGAACAUGAGAAAGCAUCUGGCUAGAAGAAUUCUGUGGACUUGGCAAAGGUGGCCACAAAGAGAUUGGUGGUGUAUCAACAGAAAGAUCAGCAGGAAGAGCGACACUAAGAGAUUCUUCAGCUCUUGAUUGAUUGGCCAACUGUUGAUCACCAGAUACACCUGCUGGUAUUCCAUCAAUAUCAGCACCACCAAAAUUUUUGGAAUCUGAAGCAGAGACAGGGCCUGCACCCAGCCCAUUCACGACAAUCUCAUCGCUGCUUAUGGCUGCAACAGCAAUGGCUGAGGCAGCUGCUUCAGCUUCAGCUUCAGCCUCACAAUCUACCAAAUGAGCACAAGAUUCCUUGGAGUGUUUCUCUUUUUCAAAGAAAAGAGAACAAUCAUUUUCAGCUGCAGAUAGAUUAUGAGAAAUUUGAAUGUCUGACCGACAUGGACCUGGAGGGCCAAUACCAAGGGAAACAGCACAGCUGCUAGGAGGGAGAAUUGUUGGAGAUGUAACUGCACCAAAUUGAAUUUUCUCCCCCGCAAGCAAUGAGUUGAUUGGACUCGCAGCGGAGGAAAAUGUCUUGUCCUUAGUCAAGAUGGAUGAUGGUGGCAAGCUGGACUCACCAACUGAUUUAGAAGUAUCUCCAACAGAAGAAUGUGAAUCAAACUGUGCAGGCUUCAAAGCCUCAUUGAGUUGCUUCUGAGUUAAGGCCAUAACCUGUUGAUUAAUCCGGGAAUUACCCCAAGAGCCCAAAGAUGUUUGGGCAUUAUCCACAAUCUUAUUCUUGCUCUCAAACAUUAAGCCUGUUGCGAGAUUCUUUCCACUACCAGAUACAACAGGUGGGGAGCUUGUUUGGAAGGACUUGAUUGUUUGGGAUCUUGUAUCAGCCUGAGCAUCAGUUUUCAAAGCAGGAGUUCCAAUUGGUGGCAAUGGUUGGGACACUAAUGGGGCAUUAAAUCCAGCAGACACUUCAACAUUUGCCAAGCCAUGUCCAUCGGUGCCAACAAGAUCAGAGCGAAUAUUGUUAGAUUCUGCAUCAACUGAUACAGAAAUUUUAUUUGAGGUGACAGAUGCAAUACUUUGUGAGGUAGAACGAAGUUUUCUUGGCAUCUUUGAGACCCGAGAUUUUGCCUUGAUUUCUUUCUCUCUCUGUUCACGGCGAUCAUUCAACAUUUGCCUCUUUGAUCUCACCUCAAUAAAAUCAUCAUCAUCGCUAGGAGCUUCUAUGCCAGGUUGCUCAAAAACACGCACAAUUCCACUUUGCAAUGGUGCAUCAACGCCCUCUCCAGCAUGUGAAAUGCUCUGAUUCUUUCUCAAAGAUUCUUUUCCAGCCCCCUUUUCAGCCUUACUUCCCGAAUCUACCUCCCGUGAACCAACUGAUCGUGAAUUCAAACCUUCUGAUUCAAAUGUUUGUUUUGGUUGUCUAUUAGGCACAACCACCCUCCUUGAGAUACUUUUUCCUCCAGCACCCCUAACACUGCUAUUAGACUUGUCAUCAACCCCAUAUGGGAUAGAUGAAACAAGCCGAGCAGAUUGCCUCUUAUCAGCACUUUCCCGAACCCGAAAUUCAGUUCGCUGGCGUCGAGGUCUUUGAAAUCCACUAGAUUCUUGGCGAGAAUUUUCAGAAGCCUGUAAUGAUGUUUUUGAGCCAUAAUUUUUCACUGCAAACACAUAUCUCUUCCCUCUCCCUCCUGAUGUUAGACCCCGAACUUUUGAGGUACCUAUAGCUUUUUCUUUAGAAACCGACUGCAAUGAUGCUGCCACAGUUUGAGGCUGGCUCUCCAAUUCUUUAGUGGAAAAGGCUUUAACAUUUUUCACAAAUGCAUCUUCCACUUGAAAUCCUGAUUCAGGCCCAGAAUUGCAAUCAUUUACAUGAGAAAACUCUCCUUGCCCCUGCAGCAUUUUUAGAGUGCUACCAGAAAUUUCUCUCGGUGACAAAGAAUUUUCCUCUUUUGAAGCUAGACCAUGAGAUACAUCUAAGUUCCGAGGAAGAAGACCUGGUUGAUUAUCCAUUGAAACAGACAAAAGGUCACUUUUCAUAAGAUUAUGAGCAGAAGUUUCUUGGCCAGGUUGAACAGGCAGAGGACCUCUGGCAUUCUGAUUCAAAGGAAAAUUAGUUGGAACACUCGGCUGAACAAAGGACAUUGAUUGCGGAGCCAAUGGCAAUAUCGCCUGUGAAAUAGGAGAUGUAUACCUUAGCUGACCAAAUUGGAAUAGAGGAGGCUGUGAUGGGUGCACUUGAGUAAGGGAAGGGCCAACAGGUGCAUGAAGAUGAAGAGGCAUCUGUAUAGAACCAAUCUGUAUGGCUGGAACUGGUGAGGGUAUCAGAGAAGGACCGGAGAACAACCCAAACUGAAGUUUAACAGGUACCUCAGGCUGACCAAGAACAGAGGCACCACCGGACAUGACAGUCUGACCUGAUGAUGGGACUUCGGGCUGAGUGGACAAACCAGAACUAGUAGAAACAUCCACAUGAUCCAUAAGUUUACACGAUGUUUGCAGAGCAUUUUUAGGUUGAAUUACCAAAUCUUGCAUUGCUUUCUCAGUUUCCUGGAGGAGUCUGGAAGAAUUAUCAACAUUCACUUGAGUAGAACCAUCCACAGGUUGAUGGGAUUGUCCAUCAGUGCGCAUCCCAUCAAAGAAUCCUUGUUCUUCUUCAGAAAUUUGUUGAAUUACGAAUUUGGUUUCUUCUUUCCUUGAGCUUCUUUCAAACUCAUCAUUUGGCAUCCCAACCUCUACACCCUCAUUGAAGCCAAGAACCAAGUUGUCCAUCAUUUCAGUAGAACCUUUCUCCUCUACAUGCACACCAUCAAAAUCUUGGGCAAGGUUAAUAUUCUCAUCUUCUCCAUCAUGAAUUUCAUCUUCUUCAUCAUAACCAUCUCCAUCCUCAUCAUAUUCUUCUUGUUCCUGCAACUGCUGACCAUUCUGAAUAGUCCAUUCUUCAUCAUCACCAGUAGAGACGACACUUGAGCCACUCAUCAUAUUCUCUUUCUCAGCUUCUAUGGGUAAGGUUGCAGACUCAUUCACUUGCUCCAAUAAGGCAACAUCUUUACCUUCACUACCUGAUAAUGCCAGAGAAUCUCCAGUUUCAUCCAAGUCAUCAUGAGAUAGAUGAACUGGAGAGUCAGGGGGGCUUGAAACAGAAAGCGAGGACUGUGAGUCACAUCUUGCUGUGUUCCUAUCUAGUUUGCGCUCUUCAUUAUCAGCAUGCUCUUGCUGGGCAUCAAUUCUUACAGUGUGUCUAACAUUCUCUUGGUGGCUGCUAUCAUACCUUGUCUGCAUAGAAGAUUCAUUUCUUGCUCCAUGAUUGUAAUGCAUCUCACUUUCUCGAAAACUCGAGGGGCCAGGACGGUCAUUACCAGAUCUGUGAGGAUUUCUAAGCAUUGAAUUCAUAGAUGGAGGGGGUAGAACACGAGGCUGCCUCAUGGAAUACCGUGACCUUGCAAAAGAAUAGAGUCCAUCUGCCUCUGGAUUUUGAUACAUCCGUUCAUGGUAUGGAGGAUACAGAUUGCAACGAGCACGACCAUGUCCCCAUCCAGAAUCGCCAAACCUCUCACUAUGGUUAUCCUGAUAUUCAGAUUCAAUUUCCACAUUUCUUCCAUAAUGAUCUCCUUCCCCUGACAUAUUCCACCUCUGACCCUUGAUCUGACUGAAGUCAUCCAUAUGAGCAUCAGGAAUACCACCUUUAUGAUAAGUCCUAGAUGGGAUGAAUCCAGGUCCCCCAUAAAAUUCUUUUCUAGUAAAUGUUCUUCCACCAAUAGAUGUAUCCCGCCCAGGACUGCGAUGACCAUUCUCCUGAUCUUGUGAAAGAAAAGUUGAGCUGUUCCCAUUUUCAAAUGAAUCCCUCUUCCAUGAAUUCACAGCUUUACCUCUGUCCAAAAAGAUAGCAGCGCCAUCUCUAGGAAAGUGAGGCCUAGAAACCACCUCAGAUGGUCUAUUCAUUCCUGAGGAAUCAGAAGAUGCUGAAGUUGUGAUCCUUUCUAACAUCCUUUCACUAUCUUCCCAAUCACCCACAUCUACCACCUUGGAAACAUCCUUCUCUGAUACCAUCGCCGACAUCUUCUCAUCUGUAACACCAGAAGAAUUAGUACUAACACUCUUUACUUCAUCAGCAUGCCUCUUCGCAAUCCUUUCCUCCAAUUCCAAAAGCUUCUGCUUAGCAGCCUGCUUCCUCCUCUCGUCCUCCAAAAGAAUUCUGUGUUUCUCUUCCUCUCUAGCUAUCCUUUGUUCUUCAGCUCUCCGCAUGGUUUCCAGUCUCUCUUGUUCAGCUCUCCGCAUGGCUUCCAGUCUCUCUUCUUCCAACCUUCUCUGCCGUUCUUCUUGUUCCCUAGCCAGCCGCAUUCUCUCCUCUUCUUCUCUCCGAGCAAGCUCCAUACUUCUUUCAUGUUCUUCCAUUAUCCGCUGCCGCUCUUGUUCCUGCAUCUUCUGAACUCUCUCAAGUUCAGCUUCAAAAGAUUCCCGAACAGGGUCAUGAAAAUCAGUCUGUUUAAGCACAUCUUUCUUCUUCUUAACAAGCCCAACAAGCCCCCCAGAAAAGGGAUCUCGUCCAUCAAAACCAGCAGUUCCAAAGUCCUUGAUGAAGGGGUCCUCUAGAUAAGGCUUGUCACUCUUUGAGAAUGAGCGCUUAUCCCUACCAAAAUUCAGUAUUGGAUCAUUAAUUGGAAGCCCUUUACCACCUGAAGAAAAAGAUGAUUUGGAUAGCGAGUUAUUCUGGUAAAUAUCUCUGUAUCUGUUGUAUUGUUCACUUCCAUGACGCUCUCGAGUGUUCCACUCAGGCUGUCGACUGCCAAAAGAGUCCAUCUUAUUAUUCCAAGACUGCCUCCCACCUUGUCCAUACCCUGAAUCCCUUCUUCCAGCAUCUUCCUGAGCACUGUCUCGAAAAGGUGAUGGGAUGUACUUAUUCUCCUUGGUUACUUCUCUGUUCAGAGUAGAUGGCCUUAUGCCAAUACCAUUUUUUUCAUUCCCGGCCUCUUGGACACCAAAUCCAUCUUUCGAAAGAGGUGAAGAAGCUCUCCAUGAGUUUCCUUCCCGUCCCUCUCGGCUAGACAUUCUCACAUCUUGCCCAUAAGUAUCCACUUUAGUGACUUCACUGGAAGAAAUCUUUCCAGUUUCAUUGUCAUGUUGUCCUCUCCUGUCAAAGAGAUUAUGUCCAGGUUUCUGUGGCAAAAUACUUGGCCUUGGGAAAUCAAAAUCCAUAUCCCAUCGAGCUUCACUCUUGGAAAAUCCAUGAUCCCUGCCCCGGUCUGCCAAACCAAGUCCUGUGUCACGCUCAUCAUCUGCCCAAUCUGACCUUGGGUUCAACCGAACUAAAGGCAAUGGUCCUGAAAAGUAGUCUUGCCGCCUUCGGUCCUUCUCAGGCAGGCCUGAACCAUCCCAACCACGAAUUUCAGAACCACUCUCUUGCAAUCCAUUGUUAAUGUUACUCCUUGACUGCAAUUGUGGACGCAUUUCAACAACUGUGCUCAAUUGGGAACUAUUCCGCUCAUUAGCCAAUUCCUCACCCAAUAACUGCUUCUGUUUCUGAUUCAAACCAUCUUUCUGUUUCUUUUCAGGCCCAGAAGUGGCUGGCAAAGUAGCCUGCAAUGAAGGGAAAUCCUCACCCCUUAAAACUGUGACUUUCUCUGUCACUGGGUAACCCUGGGAAGGAACAGAAACUGCAGGCACCGCCGACCGAGCAGAGGGAGGAGUAUACACACUACUACCACUACCCUUGCUGACCCCAUUAACAACACCAGGCAAUCCCUGAUCAAUACCAUGAUUAUUACAAGUGUCAUCAACUGUAUGAUCACCACCAACACCAAAUCCUUCUUUCUCCUGAACGGCAAUUGUGGCAGGCUUAGUCCAGCCCAUACCUGAAGAGCUAGGGCGAGGCCCACUUCCCAUACCACCUCCAGCAGGACCCCCACCUGAUCCCAACGAAUCAAACCUCUCAUGCUCUUUCCGCAACGAUGGCAGAUUUAAGGGGGGUGGAACAGAAAGUUUCGGCCCAGCAGCCUUCUGCGAGCUACGAGGCCGCGAAAGCACCAACAUCCCUCCUCCACCUCCACCAGGGCGGUUGCGGUUUGAACCAUAUGAGCUUGAAUGAUGCUGAUUAUUAUGGUGAUGCUGAUGAUAAUGCUGCUGACCAUAGGAUUUAUUGAGAUUCACAGAAACAAACUUGUUCCCGACUCCAGGAUUGGCCAUCUCAGGGUUCCACCCAGCUUAUCAACCCGUUUCGAGGCCUCGGAUCCCCGCCAACGCAUCAAAUAAAAACAGAAAACCCCAAUUCUCAGAUUAUUCCCCUCUCGAGAAAAAAAAAUUAUUCCUUUCACUAUCGUAACAGAUCUAACCGUAAACGAAGAACACACGAAACAAACCCCAAAAAGCAGAAACUCCCUCUAACCCUGAUCAAGCCAAUAAAUAAACAAAUAAUUUCAAAUCAUAAUAUUACAAAAAAAAAUGCUAAAAAUAUUGCUUUAAUUUCGAUAGAGUUGAAAAGGGGUUUCUUUUAUGUCGUCAAUUUCAGAUUUCAGGCGGAAGUGAGAUCAAAACAAAUGGAGGAACGGAGGGAUGCAUAGGAGUGUAGCUUACCUCCAGGGGGCAUAAGAUAGAGACGACAAUAAUAAAGUGCGCCGCGGAGAAAGGAGUCCUACAGAAGCGUCAGAGAGAAGCCCUACUGAAACC